rnacentral:rRNA from 1 species
AUGGGUACCCUGUCGCUGCUUCGUUUUUAUCAACAUCCGGUAAGCAGAACGGACAGAGAACUGUCCCGAUUUCUCGUAAUGCCAGGCCCAAAAGUCCUCCAUCCGCAUAGCAGCAAAAGUAGGCAUUUCUUUGAUACUUACUCACCUGUGGCUAGAUUUACCACCAUUCGAGUACUACUAUCACGGGCUGCCUCGCACGGUCUUCUCGUUCAUCAGAUGGGCAGCCGGCUUUCCUUAAUGGGGAGUUGGAUGAGGAAAUUUACAUGGAGCAGCCAGAUCAAGAGUACCCGCGCAUUCGCCUAA